rnacentral:rRNA from 1 species
UGGGGAAUUUUCCGCAAUGGGCGCAAGCCUGACGGAGCAAUACCGCGUGAGGGAGGAAGGCUUUUGGGUUGUAAACCUCUUUUCUCAAGGAAGAAGUCCUGACGGUACUUGAGGAAUCAGCAUCGGCUAACUCCGUGCCAGCAGCCGCGGUAAUACGGAGGAUGCAAGCGUUAUUCGGAAUUAUUGGGGGUAAAGCGUCCGUAGGCGGUUCAUCAAGUCAGUUGUUAAAGACUGCAGCUCAACUGUGGGCGAGCAACUGAAACCGAUGAACUAGAGUGCUGUAGGAGUAGAGGGAAUUCCCAGGGUAGCGGUGAAAUGCGUAGAUAUUGGGAAGAACACCAGUGGCGAAGGCGCUCUACUGGGCCGCAACUGACGCUGAGGGACGAAAGCUAGGGGAGCGAAAGGGAUUAGAUACCCCCGUAGUCC